UCCUGGUGGCUCAGACGGUAAAGCAUCUGCCUGCAAUGCAGGAGACCCAGGUUCAAUUCCUGGGUCAGGAA
rnacentral:tRNA from 1 species